rnacentral:rRNA from 1 species
GUGGGGAAUCUUGCGCAAUGGGCGAAAGCCUGACGCAGCCAUGCCGCGUGAAUGAUGAAGGUCUUAGGAUUGUAAAAUUCUUUCACCGGGGACGAUAAUGACGGUACCCGGAGAAGAAGCUCCGGCUAACUUCGUGCCAGCAGCCGCGGUAAUACGAAGGGGGCUAGCGUUGCUCGGAAUUACUGGGCGUAAAGGGCGCGUAGGCGGACAGCUUAGUCAGAGGUGAAAGCCCAGGGCUCAACCUUGGAAUUGCCUUUGAUACUGGAUGUCUUGAGUUUGGGAGAGGUGAGUGGAACUCCGAGUGUAGAGGUGAAAUUCGUAGAUAUUCGGAAGAACACCAGUGGCGAAGGCGACUCACUUGCCCAAUACUGACGCUGAGGCGCGAAAGCGUGGGGAGCAAACAGGAUUAGAAACCCUUGUAGUCC